ACAUAAAGUCUGUGACCCCAGGUUUAUUAAUACUGAAGAGACAAGUAAAGGGAAACCAGGUCAUCUGUGGCAUUCUGUGAACAAAAUAUUUUGUAGAGAAAGCUAUGUCUUGUAUGAGAAGGUAGAUAGUGAGGAAGGGGGCAAAUUCCUUGUGAUGUUUUUCUUACUCUAUUCCUUUCGGAAACUCACUCAACCUGCAGGCAGUGGCAAGGUUGAUGGCAAAAAGACCUCUAAGGAUUUCAGAAUAAAUACUUAGACACCAACUUAGAAUACGUAGAACUUUCUAGAAGGUCUGAAUGAAUACACCCUCCCCUACUUGAAACUUCAGGACAGCUGGAAGCUUAGGCCUUUUGUCCUCCAUCUGUGUCCAGCUAUUAGAGUUGUGCUGUGAUGUUAUUGAAUUGAAUCAAGAACCCAGGUGUGCUACGUCUUGCAGGCCCAUGUCAUCUUAAAGGUCCAAGAUCUACAGGCUAGUUGGAACAGAUGAGUAGAGGAAGAAGGAAAGAAUAUUUAUUGUUUUGACUCCAAAAUAUGGUGGCAAAACUUUGCAAAAUACAGAAGGUUAAAAGAUUGCCACAA